rnacentral:rRNA from 1 species
CGGGUGAGUAAUGCGUAGGAAUCUGCCCUAGAGUGGGGGAUAACCUGCCGAAAGGCGGGCUAAUACCGCAUAAUCUCUAUGGAGCAAAGGUGCCUUGUACUUCGGUGCGAGGUUUCGCUUUAGGAUGAGCCUACGUCGGAUUAGCUUGUUGUAAGGUAACUGCUUACCAAGGCGACGAUCCGUAGCUGGUCUGAGAGGACGAUCAGCCACACUGGAACUGAGACACGGUCCAG